AGAGCGCACGGCGGAUGCCUUGGCGCCAAGAGCCGAAGAAGGACGGGGCAAGCACCGAAAUGCCGCGGGGAGCCGCAAGCAGGCGUCGAUCCGCGGGUGUCCGAAUGGGGGAACCCACCACCUUUAAUAGGGUGGUAUCCUUGUCUGAACACAUAGGGCAAGGAAGGGAACCGGGGGAACUGAAACAUCUAAGUACCCCGAGGAGAAGAAAUCAACGGAGAUUCCCUAAGUAGCGGCGAGCGAACGGGGAAGAGCCCAAACCGGUGGAAUGUUAAAGCCCGCAAGCGUUGUUCCACCGGGGUUGUACGGCCUGCAGGGGUUGUUGCGGCGGCCCAGGACGGGAUAAGGUUUAGCCGAAGGCGCUGGAAAGCGCCGCCAUAGGGAGUGAAAGCCUCGUAGGCGAAAAGCCGAAGCCAGUCCGCAGGACCGUGAGUACCACGGGACACGGGGAAUCCCGUGGGAAGCAGGGAAGACCACUUUCCAAGGCUAAAUACUCCUUGGCGACCGAUAGCGCAUAGUACCGUGAGGGAAAGGUGAAAAGCACCCCGGGAGGGGAGUGAAAUAGAGCCUGAAACCGUGCGCUUACAAGCAGUCGGAGGGUGGAGACACCUGACGGCGUACUUUUUGUAGAACGGACCGGCGAGUUACGAUAACCAGCGAGGUUAAGCAUGCAAGAUGCGGAGCCGCAGGGAAACCGAGUCUUAAUAGGGCGGAUAGUUGGUUGUCGUAGACCCGAAACCGGGUGAUCUAUUCAUGGCCAGGAUGAAGCUAAGCUAAACCUUAGUGGAGGUCCGAACCCACUGGCGUUGAAAAGCCAGGGGAUGAGCUGUGAAUAGGGGUGAAAAGCCAAUCGAACCCGGAGAUAGCUGGUUCUCCCCGAAAUAGCUUUAGGGCUAGCCUCAAGGGAAGAAUUAUGGAGGUAGAGCACUGAUUGGGCUAGGGGCCCUGCAAGGUUACCGAACUCUGUCAAACUGCGAAUGCCAUAAUUUGGUCCUUGGGAGUCAGACUAUGUGGGAUAAGCUUCAUAGUCGAGAGGGAAACAGCCCAGACCGACAGCUAAGGUCCCCAAGUGCGAGCUAAGUGGAAAAGGAUGUGGAAUUGCCCAGACAGCCAGGAUGUUGGCUUAGAAGCAGCCAUUCAUUUAAAGAGUGCGUAAUAGCUCACUGGUCAAGUGAUUCUGCGCCGAAAAUUCAACGGGGCUAAGCUCGUCACCGAAGCUUCGGAAGAAAGUUUUAUCCACUCUUACCUUUAAAAGUCCGGUGAGGGAGGAAGUUGGAUUUGCUAAAACCCAACCUUUGGUUUGGUCAAAUCAGGAGGGUUUUAGCCAAAUUCCCAGUUAAGCCGUCACCUGAGUUUUAAAGGUAAGGAUAAAACUUUCUUGGUAGGGGAGCGUUCCAACAGCGCCGAAGGCAGCCUGUAAGGGCUGCUGGAGCGGUUGGAAGUGAGAAUGCCGGUAUGAGUAGCGAAAAGAAGGGUGAGAAUCCCUUCCGCCGAAAGCCUAAGGAUUCCUGAGGAAGGCUCGUCCGCUCAGGGUAAGUCGGGGCCUAAGGCGAGGCCGAAAGGCGUAGCCGAUGGACAACAGGUUGAGAUUCCUGUACCACCGAGCAUCGUUUGAGUGAAGUGGGGACGCAGGAGGGUAUGUCAUCACACUGAUGGAAUAGUGUGUCCAAGCGUGUAGGGUGCGCGGCAGGCAAAUCCGCCGCGCGUAAAGCCUGAGGCGUGAUGGGGAGUUCCUUCGGGAGCGAACUGACAGAUCCCACGCUGCCAAGAAAAGCCACUAGCGAGAUGUGAGGUGCCCGUACCGCAAACCGACACAGGUAGGCGAGGAGAGAAUCCUAAGGCGCGCGAGAGAACCCCCGUUAAGGAACUCGGCAAAUUGACUCCGUAACUUCGGGAGAAGGAGUGCCCCGGCAGUGUGAAGUCUUUUCGGACGGAGCACGAGGGGGCCGCAGAGAAUAGGCCCAAGCGACUGUUUACCAAAAACACAGGUCUCUGCUAAGUGGAAACACGAAGUAUAGGGGCUGACGCCUGCCCAAUGCCGGAAGGUUAAGGGGAGAGGUUAGCGCAAGCGAAGCUUCGAACUUAAGCCCCGGUCAAUGGCGGCCGUAACUAUAACGGUCCUAAGGUAGCGAAAUUCCUUGUCGGGUAAGUUCCGACCUGCACGAAAGGCGUAACGGUUUGGGCGCUGUCUCGACGGGGGACUCGGUGAAAUUGUAUUACCUGUGAAGAUGCAGGUUACCCGCGGUUAGACGGAAAGACCCCAUGGAGCUUUACUGCAGCCUGGUAUUGGACUUUGGUAUGGGAUGUAUAGGAUAGGUGGGAGACAGAGAAGUUGGUACGCCAGUAUCGACGGAGUCGGCGGUGGAAUACCACUCUUCUCAUGCUAGGGUUCUAACUGGAGGCCGUAAUCCGGUCACAGGACAGUAACAGGUGGGCAGUUUGACUGGGGCGGUCGCCUCCUAAAAGGUAACGGAGGCGCCCAAAGGUUCCCUCGGUGCGGAUGGAAAUCGCACGAGAGAGUGUAAAGGCACAAGGGAGCUUGACUGCGAGACGAACAUGUCGAGCAGGUACGAAAGUAGGGCUUAGUGAUCCGGUGGUUCUGAGUGGAAAGGCCAUCGCUCAACGGAUAAAAGCUACCCUGGGGAUAACAGGCUGAUCUCCCCCAAGAGUCCACAUCGACGGGGAGGUUUGGCACCUCGAUGUCGGCUCAUCGCAU
rnacentral:rRNA from 1 species